AUUGUUCUGUGACUUACAUUCGUAAUUCUCCAGAGUUUUACACUGUAUUUCCCUAGAAUAUUACACUGUAAUUUGUGUGGUUGAGGACUGUAAUUGUUGCAUGCCUUGCAGUUUUUGUCAGUUUCCUAGUUUGCACUUUAAUAUUCAGCCAUGCGUUUAAUAUAUCGACUAGUGGUUGCUUCUGCUUCAUUUGCCUUUGUAUUUUUAGGUUUGGUUCAGUGGGGAGUCUGUGGAAAGUAUCUCACAAGGAUGUACCCCUAGUCUCUUCUCUUGAGAGUGCUGGUUCUCUGAAUGAUCCUUUUGUUCCUAAUGAUUUUGCAGCUGAUGGUUCUCAUCCUAUGUCCUUGGAAAUCUCUAGUGAUGAUGGAGGGCUUGACGAAGCUCUCUUCGACUUCUAUAUGGAUCAUAAAGUGAAAUGUUUAAAGAGGAAGUUAUCAUGUGCUGGAAAAAGAAAUGUGGUUAGUAUUU